GUUGGGUUUCAUUUUGAUAAGAUCUUUUGGUUUCAUCUACAUUAUUGGAUUUUUUUUUUAUGGUAUAGUGUUGCAUUGUUAUUCUACUUUUUUUUUUUUGUAGUUUUCUUGGAUUUUUUUUUGUUAUCCUUAUUUUAGGUCUAGUUCAUAAUGUUUCUUACCUCUUUCCUAUAUAUUUCUGAUUGAUGAGUUGGUAGAUGCUUCUCUAUGUAACUUUGAAU
rnacentral:lncRNA from 1 species